AAGUGAUUUAUUCCCUUUAUUAUGUGCAGUCGAAGUGCUCGCGUUGCUUAGUGAUUUAUUCCCUUUAUUAUUUCCCAAGUGAUUUAUUCCCUUUAUUAUGUGCAGUCGAAGUGCUCGCGUUGCUGAAUCCCUAAAACAGUGCUCCUGCAGUCCGGCUGAUGUCGGUCAAAUUGAAUUCAACAUUCAACAUUCGCAGGCGCACUAGGUAAAGUUUCACAGAGUACAUCACAGUUUGUCAUUAAUACUCUUUUGGGUACCUCUAAAAUUCCCGUUUGCAUACUACACGCCACGGUACUCGUAAACGGUUUACCACGUCCGAGACGGUGUGGCCAGCGCCAGCUGCUAUUCGGCCGGUCUAUUAACUGCGCAAAUCGCCCAAUGACAGAAAGCAACGAAAAUAAAAAGUAGCUACUAAAUCUCCUACAGUCCUACUUGUGCUUUGCAUUAAAAGUUUACUGCAUAACAUAUACUCCAAGAGUAAUGGGGUUAGGGUAACCUGUGCAACCUGUUGGCCUCAACUACAUGAAAGUAGCACAAUGCAUAGUAAGAAAUACAAAUUAUGCAAGUACGGAAAACAUUGGCAGGCUCGCAGGCAAUGAUGCUGACUUUUGGUAUUGGAAAGAUUCCGAUUCAUUUCUACAAAUGAAUGAUUUCUUGUGUCACAUUUGUUAUUUCCCAUCUGUAUUUCUCUUUGUGUAGAAGAAUUGCAAAGUUACAUUAAAGAAAGUGGAGGGGAAAUUGUUACAGGGAGAGUUUUGCAGCAUGUUAUGACAACAUUGUCUCCAACAGACUUUAAUAUAACAGUAAACGAUCCCGAUCAUGAUUUUUUUCGUGGCAACACUGUCUCUUUGUGUGAUACUGCAGUCGAAGUCCUCGCGUUCCUGAGGCUCUGAAAGUGAAAGCGUCGCUCCUGCAGUACUGCUGAUGUCGGUCAAGUUGAAUUCAACAUGGUGAAACCUAAUGAAAAGGGAAAGAACGCAUUGCAUUUACGAGAGAUAGAAACAGUUGUUACGAAAAGCCGGUUGUUGGAAGGAACGAGAAGCAAUUCUUUCCAACCUGUUCCAGAUGUUUUGUCUUUGAAGUCGUCAUCCCUAACUGAACGCGAAGAAGAACUUUCAAGGGGUUUUCUUAAGUAUAAAAAAGGUAAAUCAUUCUUAAAUGAUGCCCACCUGCAAGUCUAAUGAGAAAUGUUGUGUGUUGUUAUUCUUCUCAUGUUAUUCUUCUCACUGAAUAACCAAGUCCUGAAUAAAACACGAGACUGCUA